AUAACACCCGGAGCCGUCUCCGCCCCGUGCUGCACCUCCCAGGCUCCGGUAUAAAUGCUGGUGCAGGACCAGGUGCUAUUAUACUAGUGACACCAGACAUGAAGCUCGCUGUUGUCUCCCUGGGGCUGGUCCUGCUGGCAGCGGUGGCUGCAGGGAAGAAACCAGGAAAGUGUCCGGUGAUCCCUACGUUAGUAAAAUGUGAAAAGGACCCGAAUCCCGGGUGUGGGUGACUCGGACUGUGACGGCAUCCAGAAGUGCUGUAACUACGCCUGCCACAUAAAAUGCGUGGACCCUGCCGGUACGAAACCGGGCAAGUGUCCGGUGAUCCCUACGUUUGCACCGUGUGGAAAGGAUCCCAAUCCGGAGUGUGGAAGUGACUCGAACUGUGGCAGCUUCCUGAAGUGCUGUAACUACGCCUGCCACAUAAAAUGCGUGGAACCUGUCGGGAAGAAACCAGGCGAGUGUCCGGUGGUCAAUACGUUUGCACCGUGUGGAGAUAGCACUAUAACGGACUGUACCAGCGACUGGGCGUGUGACGGCAGCCAGAAGUGCUGUGACACCGGCUGCCACAUACAAUGCGCGGAUCCUGUCGCUAAGUCCUGAUGUCUCAGCAAGGGACAGAAGAGGCCGCAGCAUGAACCCACUGUGACGGCAGAGCUGCUGCAGAACCUCCUACCUACCUUUCUCACAGCAAUUACAGGAUCAUUCACUUCAUGCAGAAGAACGUUUCUUUGUCCUGUCUCCUAUGAAUGGAGAUACAUUGCAUCACUGUCAUACACAUAACAUAAUAAACUAUGAGAUCGCACACCU